UCUAUCCCUAGAGGCAUUGUGGAUGUGGCUGCUGGGUCACAUGUGAAUCAGUAUGUGGCACAGAAAAGAGAGACUAUGUCUAUGCUCAGUGUUCUGACCUAUGAACAUCUGAGUAAUUAGUAGCCUAACAUU